UACGGAGGGGGCUAGCGUUGUUCGGAAUUACUGGGCGUAAAGCGCGCGUAGGCGGAUCUGCAAGUCGGGGGUGAAAGCCCGAGGCUCAACCUCGGAACUGCCUUCGAUACUGCGGGUCUCGAGUCCGGGAGAGGUGAGUGGAAUUCCUAGUGUAGAGGUGAAAUUCGUAGAUAUUAGGAAGAACACCAGUGGCGAAGGCGGCUCACUGGCCCGGUACUGACGCUGAGGCGGCGAAAAGCGUGGGGAGCAAACAGG
rnacentral:rRNA from 1 species